CAUCUCAUGUUCUUCGGCCUACACACAGAUGCAUAUGCAUUUGCCCUCAAAUACUUAACAAGAAAUAUUAACUACAAUGAACAGAGAUUGCAUGACAACGGCCGAGAUCCCAGCCAAAGUAUCGGUCAACGCCGAUAUGUUGUUUUAAAUAAUUGAGAUAUUAAAAACUUUUACAUAGUUUACUUCAAGUGAUGAUUACAUUUAACAUUAGAGGCUGAGUUCUCAAUUAGUGACUAAUAGGGAACUCCUUAUUGUGCAUGAAGUUCAUUUUUGUGGGGUUCAUGGUUGGGAUAUCCAAGUCAUUGACCUGAUGGUCCUCAUCAUGGAUAGACUACUCACAUAAAAUUUUCCCAAAUUGGAAGCCUAGCCACCUAAUAUUUGGCCUUCUUUUCCAUUGAGUUUGGAUUGCUGUGAAAUUCUUCAUAACCAUCUUUUUUCUUGCUGUUGAUGGAAAGGUUAGCAUUGUUUGAUUGAAGAUAUUCUUUGGCCAUGGUCCAUCCAUGAUGGGAGCUAUGAGCUCAAUUGUCUGGAUCAUCAAUCUUGGGCUUAACAUGUGCAACUUGUGUUCACAAGAGGAAAAUCAACUCAUCAUUACAAAAAGAAAAAAAAAAAUCCUUUGCAUAUUAGUUUUGAAGGAAGAUCUAGAAUGCAUUCAGCUAAUGCUUUUGAAGUAGAAAUUACAUUAUUCGAGAAGUGAGUAAUGAGUAUUUUAAUUCUCAUAUAAGAAUACUUUUGCAUAAGCAUCUUUCCCAUUCCAGGAUAAGCACCUGGUGACCGAGUGCCGUAAGGGUGAUAUAGCAUUCAAAUUCACAAGUUACCAAGGAUAUUUGUGCAUGUGUUGUUGUUUUUAGAUGCAUGCAUACCAAGACAUGUAUUCAAUGUUAUUAUGUCAAACAUCAAUGAUCAAUAAUAUUUGUUGUGUCCCCAUAUGAUAUUCAGUGAUUGAACUAGUAUUGUUCCAAAGUAAAACUGAUAACUCUAACUAAUGUAUUAACAUUCAACCUUUUGGUCUAGGCUUCCAGCUACAUUUGAUGGCAUAAAACAUGAUUCUUGCACCUUUUUCUGUUUGUACCAAAUAUGUUGAUUUUGAAUCUCCUUAUAGUAGCACUAAGAUAAUCAAUGUCAAAAUAUUAUUUUCUUUUCAAUGUCUCUUAUGGGAACUUCAUUUUAAAAUGUCAUGGAUGUUGGUGCUCUAAAGAUGCUCAUUAACACAAGUCUUCCUACAAGGUGCAACUCUUUUACCUAUAGGAAUUAAGCCACUAGAGUCUAGUCCUACACAAAAUCUUGUCAGUCUUCUAGUACACUUUGAAGUAAUCAAGUAUUCUCCUGUUCAAAAAAGGAUUAGAUGUGUGAAGUUUAACAUUACGAUUUUUUUUUUUUCAGUAAUGUUUAACAUGAAUAUUAUACGAAGAAUAGUUCACAACAAGGGCCUAAGACACCUGAGUCAACUUUACCCACUCACUUGGAUAAUCUAAAUUGAAUUAUUCUUUUCAUCUUCAAUGUCUCUUAUGUGAAUUUCCUUUAAAGAUCAUGGGUGUUGAGAGCAUUUCUCUAGCUCAAAAGAUGGCCACUAAUAUAGAUCUUCCUUUGGGAUGUUCUAGACAAGAUUUUAACAUACAGGAAUUGCAACACUAUUGACAUGUUUCAUUCUUCUUUUUUUCUCUUUCUUUUUCGUCAUUAUAUGGUGUACAAGCCAUUAAAAAAUUGUUAUCCUUGUGUAUUGCAAUUUUGGUGUUAGAAAGGUUUUGUAAGGGCAAAGGUGUUUUCUGUAGGGUGGCAAAUGGACUUGAGGCCAAAUCUGGCAGGGUGCGCUGAAGCAUGUCCAAAGUCCAACUCAUGAUGUUCAAAUCCAGCCACCUGAUUAGGAUUUCUUGAUCAACAUGAUAACAACCUAUUCUCACUCAUCGGUGGUCCACUAUCUGGACGGUCCAAAGACUCAGUCACAUGUAGAGAAUGAUAAAAAAGAAAGAAGAAGAUCUCAGCCGUAACAUAAGGUGGGAGCUGCAUGCAGUACCGAAGCAAAUUCAAAACAACAGAUGAGGAAAACCCAAGUCAGUUGCACUAAACCUUUAUAAUUCAAAGGGCCAUCUUCUCAGGUGAAGAAACACUGCUCAUACUUAAUGACUAUGGAAAUGUCUAUAGUUGGAAGACUGUGCUUAUUGGCAAGUAUGUCUAAGUCUCCAGAUGAAGAAGCCAUCAGAAGCAUGGGUUUUUUCAUGGUUGGACCGCAUUGACUGUGGUAAUUGUCUUGUCUAUCUGAUUUUCUCCUUGAAAUACUAUUUGAUCCUUGGCCCAGGGAUACUUACAGUAUAAGCCUUGAAUUUGUACAAGCGGGGCCAAUGGUUCAGUCUUUGAGACCAUUGGUAUGAUGGGACGCAUAGUGGAUGCACCAUGCCCUAAAUAUAGCAGGAUUGGGAAG